CGUAUUUUCCCUCUGUUCGUUGAAGUGAAUGCUCGCUGCUGUUAACUCUGUUAUCUUCUUCAGACUUUCUUGUAAUAUGCUCUAUGCAUUUCUACAUCACCUCCUCGUUUUCAUCGCCACCUCUAUAUAAGCAGAUGAAGCAGCAUUGAUCCUCAUUCGGCAUGGUGAAUCAUUAUGGAAUAAAAAGAAUUUAUUCACAAGUUGUGUAGAUGCCCCCCUAAGCGAAAACGGAACAGAUUAGGCAAUUGAAGCUGUAAAAAGAAUCAGUCUGCUCUGAUUCGUGCACAAAUGACGGCCAUGCUCGCCAUGACUCAAUCGGCACCGUCGAAGGAAGGUGCCUAUCAUGUAGACAAUGAGAGUGAACAAGCAAGAGCACGGAGCCAAAUUUUUUAGUGAGAGACAAAAAGCAAUCCAUUCCCGU